AUCACGUCUCUUGGUGUCUUCUGGUGAGCUCAGCCGAAGGGAAUUGGCAAUGCAGGACUUUGAAAAAGAGGAUUUUAGUCAUCUCAUAUAGUUCUUAAAGAGUCCGUUUCUUGAAGAAGAUCAUUGUGUGAGUGAAAGAAGAAAUUAUUAUCCUCCCAUUGCCAGACUGGAAUGCCUCAAAAAUAAGAAGGAAAGAUCAACUAACUGUCAACAUCUAUUUAAAGACUCCUUCUGCAUGGACCUUUUGUAGAACCAUUAUAGCAGGUUUAAUUGGAAUCGGCAGCCUAAGGAAGUGGUGGAGUCACUGCCCCUGGAGAUCUUCAAGAAACCUGGAGUUGUGACAGUGAGGGACAUGGUUUAUUGGGCAUGGUGGUGAUGGGUUGACAGUUGGACUAGAUUAUGUUAGUGGUCUUUUAUAACGUUAACUAUUCUAAAAAUGAAAGUUUCAGAUUGCCUUGCCUUAUAUUUUUUUAAAAUGUAAAUUCGGUUUUGUCUAGAACUUUUCCUUUCUUCAGAAAAUGUGGACCAAAAGACUGCAUCCAGGUAGUCUUUCACUGUGUGUGUGUUUUAUUGCUUUUGCACCGAGGUUCUCAGACAUGAAGUAGAUGUGAAAGAAAAAUUCAUGUGACUGAGGUUAAUUUUAAUUGCCAACAGGUUCUUACUGUCCUAAUAGAUUAGUCACCUAACACCAGCUACGGAAGAGAAUAACCAACUCUUUUUUGUAUACAGCCAUUCACACAAAAAGAAGAGCAAUACUUUAAGGAAAUGAUUUUUCUCAUCUGCAAAUGCUGUGUUUUCCAUCAAGUUUUUACUUUUAAACUGUGGAAGAGAGUUUAUAAACUACCAAAAAAAAAAAAAAAAACAGCAAUUAAUGUAAUUACUCUGAUGUGGAAGAGUUCUGCAAUGAAUUGCCAAGUCCUACUGUGGCAUCUAAGUCCAUUUUCAGAUAUAAAACGUGGCUCUCACGAUGACUUUUUCUCCAUGUAGUAAGGAAAGUUUCUCUGUCUGUUGGAAUUGAAUAAUGAAUUCAGACCACACAGUUAUUGCUCAGAGAGAUAUAUCUUACAGUCUUACUCCUGUGAAUGGGUCUUUCCUGUCUCCUCACCCUUUCUGUCUGAAGAUAUAUAUCAUUUACAUGGCUGAUCUUUUCUUGUAGAUUGAAACUAUAUUAACAUAUUAUCCUGUUCAGUCUUGCUUUAUAGGAUGACGUUGCUAUGCCAAGACUUAUUUGUGGUUUUCCUGCUUUAGAAUGCAUAUGCAAGCCCCCCCUUUACACUUUGAGAAACAAUUAAUGCAAUCCAAAAUGAGAGGAAACUAGAUGGUUUUAUUCAGACUAAUCUCCCCUUAUCUAUAUGCUGGAUCAUAUGCUGGACUUAUUUUACCUGAUAAAAUUAAAGAAACCUUAAGAUUUUUUUUCACUUGCUGCAGCCAUUUUGAAAAUCAGGUAUAAGAAAAGCAAGUGGUUAACCCAUCAUUUGUCAUUUUGCUAUGUUCAAACUGUAAGAAGAAUUCUAUUUCUUUAACACUGAUAAUAUUGAAAAUCAAUUCAGAGUGGAUUGAUUCCUUUCCUCCCUUUGAUUCCAGAAAUCUUUUUGUUCCUUAGUGUCCCUUGUGGUUGGCUGUCAUGCAGAGGACAGAAAACUUGAUUUUUAUCAUAUGGAAUGCUUCAGGCUUAGGAGCUUCCUGAUGUAUGAAUUAAAUGAACUUAGUCCAUCAGCAGAUCAGUCAGUCAUACACUGAUGCAUGCUAUUCUUCUUAAACAUAUCCUUCUUAAACAUGUAACAGUAGCCAUGUACCUAGGAGCACAAAAUAAUAACUUUUCAGAUCUUAGCAUCCAAAAAAAAAAAUCAGCAUAACAUACAGAAGAUUAAUAUUCUAGUACUUGAUAGUCUGCAAUGACUGCCAACCUGUGCUUUUAAACAAAUCAAUUGUAGAAAAAACUCAAGUUUUUUUUUUUAUUUUUGGGAGAUAAAAGCUACAAUUUCAUGUAAACUUGACUUCCAAUGCUUUGAAGAAAAAUAGAGAAACACCACUAAACAUUAUGAGCUUUCAGUAAAAUUAUGGGUGCCAUCUAAGUUAGAAGUGCAGUAACUGAUUGUAUUUUUUUUUUCUCCCUAAGUUACUAGCCUUUAAACUAAUAUAAAAGAUGCUCAGCUUUUGUAUGGAUAAAUUAGUCAUCAGAAAUAACUGCCUAAUUAGGAAGAAGUGUUCCUAGCAGCUGAAGUAUGAACAGCUGCAGAUAAUGUUACUGUGUACUUCAGGUGGUUUAACCAAUUUAUUCUUCCCUUCACGCUUUAGCACAGUAUAGAAAAUACUUUGAGGAGAAUAACAGAUAAUGUAGAUAAAUACUGUAUAAAUUUUUAUCAUUCAAAAGUUUUGUCUCUAAGCAAAUUAUCUUUGAAAUCUCUAAACAAUACUAUGUUAAUGAAUUUAAAAUACAUUCCUUAGCAAUUAUUUGAUUGCCAAACAAAAUUAACAACAAGUAUUCCAGACCAUAUAAAAUCUUCAAAAAAAUAUAUGGUAUUAACAGUUGUAAGAGUUUGCAUACAUAACUGAAGUUUUUUCAAAAUCUUUUUAACUAAAACACAUUCUCACUUUUCUAAGAUUCAGUAGAGUCAAUGAACGCCAAUGGAGUGGGGUAGAUGUUAAAUUACUUCAGGAGGCAGCCCAAAGACUAAUUUAAACUGUUUUUUUUUUUUAAUUAAGGGAAAAAAGAAAAACAUCAUUCUUUCACCAAGCAUUGACUGAGACUUUCAUCUAAAGGUUUAGACUCAAAUCUUCUAUUAAUUUUGUUAAACACCCCUUGUCUGCAUUCCAGAAAUUCCUACGAAUUUUUGCCUUAAGCUAAAUGACAAGUAUUUGAAAAUGUUCGAUUUCGUGAAGAUUUUUUUUCUUGGUAACUUUAAAGCCAAAAUUCUGAUUACUUUUAAGCAUAAAAUGUAGACUGGGAUCUAGAUAAAUACACAUAGGUGGCCAUUUUAUCUCUAUAACAAAUCAAACCCCAAAUCUCAGGUAUAAGCACUUUUAGGGAGUUCUGAUUCAUGUCUGAAUCCAAAUGCUGUGGCUUACACUCACUUCAACAGGUACAGAAGUGCUAAUAGGAAAUUAGAGGUUUCAUCUCAUGCUGUUUGGAGGGAGCCUUUGAGUGAUGUGUCAUAAUCUCUUUCUAUAUUGGGGAAUAACAGAUGUUAAAAAUCACCCAACAAGUAUAUUAAGGCAUUUCAUGUUUUGUGGGUUUCCUUAUUACAGAAUUUUUCAAGAACGCUUGGAAUGAAAUCAACAGUCUCAUGUAUGUAAAUAAAA